UACGUAGGGAUCCGAGCGUUGCCCGGAAUUACUGGGCGUAAAGAGCUCGUAGGUGGUUUGUCGCGUUGUCCGUGAAAACUCACAGCUCAACUGUGGGCGUGCGGGCGAUACGGGCAGACUGGAGUACUGCAGGGGAGACUGGAAUUCCUGGUGUAGCGGUGGAAUGCGCAGAUAUCAGGAGGAACACCGGUGGCGAAGGCGGCUCUCUGGGCCUUACCUGACGCUGAGGAGCGAAAGCGUGGGUAGCGAACAGG
rnacentral:rRNA from 1 species